rnacentral:rRNA from 1 species
GUGUCAGCCGCCGCGGUAAUACAGAGGUCCCGAGCGUUGUUCGGAUUCACUGGGCGUAAAGGGUGCGUAGGUGGUGGAGUAAGUUUGAUGUGAAAUCUCCGGGCUUAACCCGGAAACUGCAUUGAAUACUAUUUUGCUGGAGGUUUGGAGGGGGGACUGGAAUUCUCGGUGUAGCAGUGAAAUGCGUAGAUAUCGAGAGGAACACCAGUGGCGAAGGCGAGUCCCUGGACAACACCUGACACUGAGGCACGAAAGCUAGGGGAGCAAACAGGAUUAGAUACCCUGGUAGUCC